GCCGGGCGUGGUGGUGCAUGCCUGUAAUCCCAGCUACUCAGGAGGCUGAGGCGGGAGAAUUGCUUGAACCCAGGAGGUGGAAGUUGCAGUGAGCCAAGAUCACACAACUGCACUCCAGCCUGGGUGACAGAGUGAGACCCUGUCUCAA
ensembl:misc_RNA Metazoa_SRP Metazoan signal recognition particle RNA